GAAAAAUACAAGGUGUAAGUGUUUUUUUCGAUGAUUUUGUGUGUCUCAGGAAGACUCUUACUGUCCCUUUUCUAUGAAACCUGGGCAAAAAGGAGAGAAAUUCUGGAAUUGCAGGACCCCAUUCACUAAGAUAUGAAGACAUUCUGGAAAGACAGAGGAGUGCCAAGAAUCAAGAAUGAAUUUGUCAUUUAUGAAUGGACCUGAAACCAUCCUUACAAGAGAAACAUAUAUCCAGACUAUGGAACUUAAAGCACCUGACCUGUUUUCUGAAUCUGGAAAGUGGAAAAACAAGUGAGACUGCUGCUAUCCCAGGCUGAGUCUACCACCAGAAGAACAAGGGAGACCUUGAAAUGGCUACUGCAGAUGCCUUCUAGCUUUCUUUGUUUGGUUGGUUUGGUUUAUUGAUUGGUUGGCUUCCUCAGAUGUAUUUAUCUGGCAGGUUGUGAAUCCAGUCUGUAUAGCUCAUUUGAAUCUAAGCAUGGUAAUAUUUUUUAAGUUUAUAUAGA